UACGUAGGGUCCGAGCGUUGUCCGGAAUUAUUGGGCGUAAAGGGCUCGUAGGCGGUCUGUCACGUCGGGAGUGAAAACUUACAGCUUAACUGUGAGCGUGCUUUCGAUACGGGCAGACUUGAGGCAUUCAGGGGAGAACGGAAUUCCUGGUGUAGCGGUGAAAUGCGCAGAUAUCAGGAGGAACACCUGCGGCGAAGGCGGGUUGCUGGGCCGACACUGACGCUGAGGCGCGAAAGCUAGGGGAGCGAACGGG
rnacentral:rRNA from 1 species